UACAGAGGGGCAAGCGUUGUUCGGAAUUACUGGGCGUAAAGGGCGCGUAGGCGGCCUUCUAAGUCGAACGUGAAAUCCCCGGGCUCAACCCGGGAACUGCGUCCGAUACUGGAAGGCUUGAAUCCGGGAGAGGGAUGCGGAAUUCCAGGUGUAGCGGUGAAAUGCGUAGAUAUCUGGAGGAACACCGGUGGCGAAGGCGG
rnacentral:rRNA from 1 species